AAAUUGGACAUGAAAUAAUUACACUAGAUGUGGUACAUUAUAACAUGUCAUUGCCUUCAGAAAGAAUGCAAAAUAUAGAAAAUGUAGAUGAGUGCAGACAUGCGCAUACAUCCACACAAGCACACAAGCACAGACACAAUACAUUGCAUGCUCUAUUACCAGGGAUACGAGGCGUCAUUACCAAAGCGUGGCAGUCGGCUCAUAUGUCCCACUGACAUUGUCUAAGUACAGAAAGGUAGCGUGAACAACAAGAGAGACUUACAGUGAGGGAAUGUGACAGAGACAUCACCGUGACAAGGCUAACUGCCGUGCCUUUGUGCAGGGAGACACCGAUGACGCACACAAUAAAAGGCCAGGGAGAGAAAGAUGAGAGAAUAAUAGUUGGACGUUGGGUAAGUUUUCACUGAAUUCCUGAAUUACACAUCGCUACUGUUAUGCGAAAACCCUUGAUACCAUUUUUUUAAUGUUAAUAAAAAAAAAUAAUUACAGUACAUGUCUUGCUUCUGUGUGAACUUGGAAAAUGUGUCAGUCCUCAGGCUUCUGAAAGGUAAGAUCAACUCUAUUAAAUAAUCUCACAAAAUUAGCACCCAAGUCAGGGGACAAGCUCGGUUUUCACACUGACAAGGUGACAUUUUGGAGAUACGAGGUUUUCACCUAAUAGUAAUGUUAUUCCAUCAUCACCCCUGAGGUGGAAAAUUUGCAGUCUUGUGAAAAACAUUUAAAUAUGAGAGGUUUUCCCAUAACAAUAAUGUGUGUGUGUGACAGAAACAGUGAAAAAUGAAGGCGCAGAUAUGCAUGCAGAAUCUGCUACACACACUUUAUAUUUUGUGCAUGUCCUACUAAAGCAGAGGUGGCAGCAAAUCAAUGAUGAACGCAUGUUAUUGUAAAAACUGCAGUGACACUAGUUAUGCCUAAUGUUGCACUGCUUUCAUCAUCAUGUCGCACCUUUUCUGUUUGUCACACAGCCUCGUAUUAAUUCUGCAGACCAUGAAUAAGGCUCCACCUUAGGGACAUCUCAGAUUCCUCGUCACACUAAAUAAUGGAUUCAUAUCAGUGAAUGAGAGCGCUGAACGGUUAACCUCACCCCUUUCCCUCCUCUCUGAAGCCACAUUGCCAAAUGAGCCAAUCAGACACUCACAUCCGCUUGACCACCUCCAGCAGGCUCCUCCUCCUCUUCCUCUGAGAUUAUAUAGUCUAUGAACAUCGGCUUCACAACGCACUCACACCGUGCUGCUGCGAGCAGCUCAGGAGACGAGGCAGCACUGAGAACAUUUACCUAUUGAUGGACACUGAAAACAAAAGUUGCAGGCACAUGCUGGCGUCAAGUACUGAAAACAACAACAGCAGCAACGUCACCGGCAUUGACAGCAGCUUCAGAGAAACCCCCUGUAGCGUCAUAAUCGGCGGCAGCAAUCAUCGGACGCACGCUGAGAGGACCGUCGCCGCCAACAGACAGCCUCUCUCACUUCAAGGACAGCAGCUCUGAGAUGGGCUGCUCGUCGGGCCGACAGCCCCCAGCCCCGGUCCUUCACCCGGACUUGGACUGCGGCAACAGCAGUGAGGCCAACACUUUGCCCCAGGACUGUGAGAACCAGAACCAGGGUUUGAAUGGCUUUAGAGAAGGAGGAGAUGGCGAGGGAAGUGUUGGAAGGUGCCAGGCCAAACCUCCAGAGUCUCUCCCCACACUGGAGAGACUUGCCCAGGCCACAGGUGGGACUGAGAAGUCCUGGUACCGCUGCGUGUUCCCAUUUGGUGUGAUUUCUCUUGUGAUCGGCAUGGCGGGUACCGGAGUGACGUUCACCUUUGACACGCUUCUCCAGACCAAAGUGGUGUCAGUGGCACUGCUGUGUGUUGGUGUAGUGAUGCUGCUUGUGGCAGCUGUUUGUUGGAGGGCUCACAGACUGAGGAAGAAGAAAAAGAAGGAAGGAGGAUUCUUCACUGCUGACCAGGGUACUUUGUGAUGGACAGUGGAGUUGAGGUCUGGACAGACCAUGCUGAGUUUUUGAAUGAGAGAGAAAACUGAGUUGUAGGGCGACGCAGGACUUUCUUCUGCACUACAGCAGACUGAAAAAGAGUUGGAUGAUAUUUCUGUGCCAGGGAAAUGUUGUGACAGCUUUUCACAGAUAUGUAUUCAGAAAACACAACUUUAGCAAAGGCACCACAACCAUCCUGAGCUGACACACAGGGUAAAGCAUGCGUCAUACUAAAACCUCCCCUUGUCCUGUCCUGACACUUCCUAUUAUGGAUUUACCCAGAGAUCAAGUAGAGAGCAGAGCUAAGAGCGCAGUAUAGAUCAUUGCUACAAGCCUGGUCUCUUUGCGUAAGGGAAAUGCAUGAGACAUAGGCACCUCAGGAAUAGUUAUUUAAUACCUCCUGACCUUUCCCAUGCAGUUUAAUGGAUAAAUAGGUAUGUCUGUGUGGGACAGGAGAGUUACAUAUUCACAGAUAUAUGCCUGUCAGGAACAUCUGGGUUAGCUGACCAGAGCAGAAGUACUUAGCAAACUUGAGGAGGCAGCAGUCCUUAUUUCUACCAAACAAACUAUCUUGAAAGAGUUGCUCACAACGGCAACUGCUGGAUUUAAAUACGAUUUCCUCUCACUUCAAAAGACGUGCUAUUAUCUACAAAACUUUUUCUCCAGCUGUUCUAGUGCUGCUUCUGCUUUUCAUUAGGCAAAAGCAGCAGGCAGCAGUGAGGGGCCCCAUCUGAAAAAGGAUGGCAGCACAGAAUCAGGCAAAGUGAUGCAGAACAUGCUACUCAGCAAUUUCACCUAGGGUGAUGAUUACUACUUAUCAUCUACACAUCAUGUACCUGUCAGAGACGUCAACACUUAAACCUUCCUGCAGGCUUUGUGGUAGUUAACCACAAUCCACCUUUGUCAGAUCAAUAGUAAUCACCACUCUGUGAUAUAUUGAUCUAUUGUAGGUAGUGAGCUGCAUUUCCACUCCACGCUGUUAAAAUUGCUUUUCCAAGCACUCUUAGACUUGUCACACAUAAUUUAUAGACAGUAUGACAAGGAAAUCCCAGGAAAGACCAACAAAGACAAAGCUUAUAAAAGCCACGUCCUUGCCUCCCACUGAACCAAACAGAGGCGAUACCACUGGACGUUUAGAUGUGAGCAGCGAGAGGGAAAUCAAUUCUUUUACCCUCCAUUCUCCUGCUCUCUGGAGAACAACUUACCCUAUUGUUUAUAUAAGCUACUGGAUGGGAGACAUGGAGAUUAAGUUAACGCUUCCUUGGGCUCAGACUUAACCAGGUUUAACUGGUCAGUCCUCAUUGAUCGGGUUAGCUUCAUAGAGUGGUGGCUGUUGUGAAAACCCGUCUCAAUGGAUUUGUCCUGAAUAUUGUUCUUCUUACACACCAUAUUACUAUACCAGAUGACUCUAUCUUUUAAACAACUAGCUAUCUGACUGAGAACCCUCAGAAUGUAGCAGAAAGUUAACCACAAUAGAACACGAGCCUUAGCAGCAGUUGAUGUGGUUUUGAGGAAAACCCAGCAGCUUUGUGUUAGCCGUAGCGAUGUUACUGUAUAAGACUGAUUAUUAUAUAUAUCUUUGAUAAAAUGUUUACCGAGCAUCACAUGUGGUCCAACUUGGUCACGACAGUUCUCAUGUGGAGCAGCAGCUGUGGAAGUGUGUCUGUGUGCGUGCGUGCGUGCGUGCGUGUGAAUCUGCAUGCGUGUACCAGAGCUACACUUAACCUUUUUACCCUUGUCUCCCAACAUCCUCAUCCUUAUCUAGUUUCACAAGCUUCUUUCAAGCUUUGCUCAUACACUCUGAGAUAGUCUAAGAUCGUCCUUCACGGCAUUGAUAUGUUCAUAUGUGUGCACACGUUUUUGUUCUAAAAUACUCUGUAUUCUUCUAAAUGACAUAUCAUAAAGACUGUAGGCCCUGAGAGUGUAGCCACAUUUCUGAAUGUACCUCCAACAGUGAGUGUCUUACGAGCAUCCUUGUACAGUGUGUAAAAACUAUUUAUGUAUCUUCUAUUUUGAGUAGACAGAGAUUUAGACACAGAGGACAAUAUGUAUCUAUUUGAGGCACUCUCCUUAACUCCUGUUUUGUUUCUGUUCCAACAGCUGCCUGUUUGUAACAAUUUCAAGUGUGCUGCCGCAGUGUGAAUUGUAAUUGUUUCAUUCCAAAAUGAGACAUCUGCCAUUGAAAUAACCGUCACAGAUAAUGUGGAAUUUUUUGUUAAAGUGAAGCACACAAUUAGUUGAUUUUUAUGGACAGAAACAUAUUCUGUUGUUUGUUUUUUUACACAGUGGUUUUUGGAAUGAAAUUAUGGAGUUGCUUAAGUAAUUGUGGUCAAUUUGCUUUGAGUUUAUUGGCAUGGUCAAGCUUUUCUCUGAGUGCCUUUUACUCGCUAUGUCGAUAUUUCUACGUAAGGUGCAGUCAGUGUAAGCUGUGCAGGCCUACUGGUGCCAACAAUAGAGUAGUCCAAAAGAGAAGCAGAAAUACUGCAGUUUAUUUCAGUCUGUGUGAGUGCUAUGGUGUGCAUGAAGUUUCCUUUAAGUCACAGUUUGAUACAGUUCCUUUAGUAAAAAUGGACAGGAAUACCAAAUAUAUUUAUUGAGAAGUUUAUUUUUUGUCUCUGUAAUGUCUGUAAGAUUGUACAAUUUUCCUCAUAUACUGUUCAGCUUCUGAAGCACUGAAUUAAAUGCAAAGGUUGAUUUUGGAAACAA